AUUGAACGCUGGCGGAAUGCUUUACACAUGCAAGUCGAACGGCAGCACGGACUUCGGUCUGGUGGCGAGUGGCGAACGGGUGAGUAAUGUAUCGGAACGUGCCCAGUCGUGGGGGAUAACGUAGUGAAAAUUACGCUAAUACCGCAUACGAUCUAUGGAUGAAAGCGGGGGAUCGCAAGACCUCGCGCGAUUGGAGCGGCCGAUAUCAGAUUAGGUAGUUGGUGGGGUAAAGGCCCACCAAGCCAACGAUCUGUAGCUGGUCUGCGAGGACGACCAGCCACGCUGGAACUGAGACACGGUCCAGACUCCGACGGGAGGCAGCAGUGGGGAAUUUUGGACAAUGGGCGAAAGCCUGAUUCAGCCAUUCCGCGUGCAGGAUGAAGGCCCUCGGGUUGUAAACUGCUUUUGUACAGAACGAAAAGGUUUCUACUAAUACUAGGAGCUCAUGACGGUACUGUAAGAAUAAGCACCGGCUAACUACGUGCCAGCCGCCGCGGUAA
rnacentral:rRNA from 1 species